ensembl:snoRNA
UUGAUCAUAGGACCCCUUUUAAACUCUUAAAAACGUAUCAGGCAGCCUGACCCUGACCUAAAGUAAAUUCCCAGAAGACUUUCCUGGGUUUUGAAUUUGCACUGACAGGUGUGCAUAUUCUAGCAGCAGUUUAAUGACCACGUAUGAUACUGUAAACAGGA